GUCAAGCCGGUUAGCGGAUGGCUCGGCUCGAGAAGCCGACGAAGGACGUGGCAAGCUGCGAUAUGCUUGGGCGAGACGCAUGCAGUCAUUGAACCCAAGAUCUCCUAAUGCGACUUCGCAACACUUUUCGAAGUGUUACGCAACAAUGCGAGGCAACGCGGUGAAUUGAAACAUCUUAGUAACCGCAGGAAAAGAAACCAACAGGGAUGUCCUUAUUAGAGGCGAUCGAAAAGGACGUAGCGCAAACUGAACACGAUACCGAGAGGUAACGUGGAUGUGGUUUGGGCGCCGUUGGAACCUAGCUGGAUAGUUGAAGUCUGCUGGAAAGCAGCACCAUAGAGGGUGAUAGUCCCUUAAACCAUUUCAGCAACGUUCCUGGCGUUCCGAGAGUAGCAUGGAUUGGAAAUUCUGUGUGAAGAUGGGAGGCAUAACUCUUCCAACGCUAAAUACUUCUCGAGUCCGAUAGCGUACUAAGUACCGUGAGGGAAAGCUGAAAAGCAUCGUUCGAAGCGAUUUGCAAAGAGCCUGAAACUAUCCGGUCAUAGGCUAGAAGUGGCGCGGAAGCGUCGAAGCCUUUCAACGAACCCUGCGAGAGCAGUUAGUAGGUCGAGGUGGAUGCAGUGUCACUUCAUCCGUUUUGAAAAACGGGGCAGGGAGUGUGUCACCGUGGCAAGACUAAGCACUUUUCGGUGUGGAGUCAUAGCGAAAGCAAGAAGCCCGCAGCAGUUUACUGUGAGGGGCCGCGUGUUAACUCGCGUGAAGUCACCGUGACACGAUCCGAAACCGGUCGAUCCUGGCCUGACCAGAGUGAAGCGAAGCGAAAGCUUCGUGGAGGCUCGAACCGUUGCUGCGAUACAAGCGCUCGGAUGAGUUGGGUCAAGGGGUGAAAUGUCAAUCGAGAUCGGUGAUGGCUGGUUCCUCUCGAAAUGAAUCGAAGUUCAGCCUCGGCUGAGGUUGUCUUCAAGGUAAAGCUACCGAUUCUGGCAGCUUAGGCUCGCGCCUAAGCCCGGAGUCGAACUCUGAACUUGAAGACGCCAUAGAAGCCGGGAGUGAGGGGCACUGCGUAAGGUAGUGUCCCUAGAGGGAAACAACCCAGAGUAUGGUUAAGGCCCCUAAUUCUUGACUAAGUGUCUGUUGAAGGGAGUCCCGGUUCUCAGACAGCGGGGAGGUUAGCUUAGAAGCAGCUACCCUUUAAAGAUAGCGUAACAGCUCACCCGUUGAGAACUGGGGCACCUAAAAUGGACGGGGCUCAAGUCAAGAGCCGAGACCAUACCAUUGUAAUUUUUACACAUGGAUAGAGAGGCGAUCCGCGCCGGACAGAAGCAAGGACGUGAGUUCUUGUGGACCGCGUGGAUAUGACAAUCCUGCCGGCAGUACCAUCAUUAACAGAGGUGUGAAUCCUCUGCGCUUGAAGGGUAAGGGUUCCUCAGCAAUGAUUAUCAGCUGAGGGUUAGUCGGUCCUAAUUCCACUCCCAACUGGACGUGGAAGAAUAGGGAAACAGGUUAAUAUUCCUGUACCUAACUACAACUACUGACGUUUCGAGACAGUGCUUGCUGCGCCAUCGCGCAGUCCAAGCAAGUAAUUCGUACGAGCGUAACGCAUCGACUACGAGAACUUGUUAUGGGCCUGGGAAUAAUCCCGGGUCAGCAUGCGUCUUGGAACCCUUGAAAAAGUGUAGAAGACCGUACCCAGAACCAGCACAGGUACCCUGGCUUUGUAGGCCAAAGCGUUCGGGUAGAACGCAACUCAGGGAAUUCGGCAAGUUAGCCCCGUACGUUCGCAAGAUGGGGUGCCUAUCGUCUUGAUACGAUAGGUCUCAGUGACUAGGGAAGCUCGACUGUUUACUAAAAACAUAGCUGACUGCCAUUCCGAAAGGAUUUGUAUAGUCAGCGACUCUUGCCCAGUGCCAGCACCUGAACACUCCGUACAAGGAGACGAAGGGCUGGUAAACGGCGGCGGUAACUAUGACCGUCUUAAGGUAGCGUAGUCCCUUGCCAAUUAAUUAUUGGCCCGCAUCAAUAGAGUAACGAGGUUUCCACUGUCCCGAGUUGUGGCCCGGUGAACCCGCCGUACCGGCGCACAGGCCGGUGACUCCCGGUGGGAAGCGAAGACCCUUUGAACCUUUACUGCAGCCUGUUGUUGCUGCGGGGGUCCAAGUGUGAAGCGUAGGUAGGAGACGUUACAGAGACGCGGCCGCUAGGUCGUCGCCCAGUCAACCAUUGGACACUACCCUCUUGGAACCCUGCGGCUUACGUCUACGGACGGACAGCAGCAGUUGGGCAGUUUAACUGGGGCGGUAUCCAUAUGAUAAUCAAUCAUAUGGGUCCAAAGGUAGGCUCAACCCGUUCAGAAAUCGGGUGUAGAGUACAAGGACAAAAGCCUGCUUGACUGGACUCUCAACAGUACGGAGUCCAGGCGCGAAAGCGUGGCCUAGCGAACCUCUGAGUGUCAAGUUUAUGAGACCCAGGUAUGACAGAAAAGGUACUCAAGGGAUAACUGGAUUGUCUGAGGCGCGAGCUCACAUCGACCCUCAGGCUUGUUACUUCGAUGUCGGCUCUCCGUAUCCUGGCCGUGCAACAGCGGCCAAGGGUGGGGGUGUUCACCCAUUAAAACGGAUCGUGAGCUGGGUUUAGAUCGGCGUGAGCCAGAUCGGUUGCUAUCUGCCGGGAGCGUUCUGACGGUUUGAGAGGAAAUUUCGGACAGUACGAAAGGAACCCCGAAAUGAGGCCUCUGGUGUAUCUGUUAUCCGAGAGGGUAUUGCAGAGUAGCUACGCCUCACAGACGUAAGAGCUGAAAGCAUCUAAGCUCGAAAGUCUCCUUUAAAAGAAACCGUCUCCGCUCUCAGUAGAAGACGAGGUUGAUAGAGUGGCAGUGUAAGAUUCAAGGCAACGAGAAUUUCAGCUGACCACUACUAAUCGCGGGUUCCAGUCCA
rnacentral:rRNA from 1 species